rnacentral:lncRNA from 1 species
CACCCAAUCACACCCACCCACCUCACCCUCCACCUUAUCCUCCUCUCCACCAAUCCCACCUCCCUUGGAAUCUAAAAACCAUUCCUCAGUCCUCCGUCCUCAACUCUUCCAUCUCCAUUUCUGUCCAACUCCCCUGCCAACUCGCCAACAAUGUCUCUCACCAUCCCCACAAACCUCUCCAAGCCCCUCAAGCCAAGGCUCAGCUCUCCCUCCUUCCAAAAGGCAAGGCCUAUGAUAGUGUGCUCAGCCUCAACUGAGCCACAGCCCACCAACAAAUCUCCACUCCAAGCAUUCUCUGCUGCGCUUGCACUCUCCUCCAUCAUUCUAGCUGCUCCAGUCCCUGCCUAUGCUGACAUCGCCGGGCUCACACCCUGCAAGGAGUCCAAAC